AUGAAAUUGGGAGAAAUGAGAAAAAGCACGUAUCUGAAAAUACCUUUCACCCAUUCACACCUGUUUGAAUAUUUCAGGCACCAUCUGCCAGCAGCUUCCCAUGUGGCCUAUGGAGGACAACUGCCGGGUGCCCAGGAAGUGCCACCAAAGGGCUUCGGGGCUCACAGUCUGAGGACGGACAGCCCACAGUUCACUCUGGAGUGUAGCUGUUGCCAGGUGUGGCUGGGCAGGGGUCAACAAGUUCCCGCUUGCCCCGCAGAAGAACCCACACUGGAACUGAAAGUGAGGAAAGCGUUGCGUAAGCCGUUCAGGUAACAAUGUUUAGAGACCUUUCUUAUGAAAAACACUCUAUUUCCUGUGAGUUAUUGCCCUUAAGAAUAUUUCUUUUUAAUAUCAAAUAUCUCAGUUCAUCUACCCUCCAGAGAUGAUUUCAUCUUGUACCAUGUGCUAUCUCAGCAGAAAAAAUGCUUUCCCCAAAUGUGUCAGUUCUAUUUUUAAAAAGGUUCAGUGACCUAUUUCUGUAGUUCUCACAGACACCGAAAGAAUAGCAGAGUCUACCGAGGCUCAGCUCUGUCCCCGAAAAGUUAGCCCCGCCAAACGUUGCCUACAGAGCUGCCAUCUUGCUUUGCAGUGAAGAAGCCUAAAUAAAUGAGUGUUGUCACAGUGAGAUCAUGGGAGCGUCACCACACACGCACGGACACACGCUUUUCCAUUUUUCAACAGUGUCAUGAUGACUGCAGUUUAACGCCAGCCAAACUCAACUUAGGAGAUUGCUUCAGAGGCAACCAUUUCCUGGACAAAGAACGUGAAGAGACAGUUUACAAAAAAAGGAACUACAAUGCAUCGACUGAUACAUGGAAAAAUGGUUAGCUCCUCAGGUAUUCAAGAAAAUGCAAAUUCUGAUAAAGUCACUUUGCAAAACUAACCUGCGGUGUGAGAUGUCAGGACAGCAGUUACCCGUAGGUGGGGUGGAGGAGGGUGAAAAGGGGCCCAGCAGGGGCUUCUGAGCUUCUGGUCAUGUUGUUCUUGAUGGGGGUGCUGGUUAUUUAGGGGUGCUCACUUUGUGAAAAUACACCUAUGACUUGUAUACAUCUCUGGAUGUAUGAUAAACCUCAUUGUAAAGUUUAUAUAAGAAAUAAGCUCACUUUCUAUUAAGUUAGCAGCAAAAAAAAAAAAAACUCCAGAAAUAUUCAUAUUUGUUAACUCAAUAAUUCUACUUCUGAGAUUCUAACUUAAGAAAGAAUCCCAAGUGUCAAAAAAGGCUUAAAUUGCAAUAUUGUUUUUAAUAACAAAAAGUACGUAUUAGUGAAACAUUGAAAGCAAUCUACAUGUUCAGCUAUAGGGCAAUGGUUAAGAAAACUUUGAGGAGUUCCCAUCAGGCUCAGUGGUUAAUGAACCCAACUAGCAUCCAUGAGGACACAGGUUCGAUCCCUGGCCUCACUCAGUGGGUUAAGGAUCCGCCAUGCUGUGAGCAGUGGUGUAGGUCACAGAUGUGGCUCGGAUCCUGCAUUGUGGCUGUGCCCUAGGCUGGCAGCUAUAGUUCACAUUUGACCCCUCACCUGGGAACCUCCAUAUGCCCCACCCCACCCCCCCAAAAAAGCCAAAAAAAAAAAAGAAAGAAAACUUGGAUAAGAAAACUUUGUCAUCCCCUGAUGACAUUUUAUGGACUCUUUAACAGUAAACUAAUGUAGUAAUGACAGAGGAAACACAAUACAGUGAGUGGGAAAAGCAGGAAAUGAAAUAGUAGGCACAAUUACAAACCACAUUUAAAAUUUUUUUAAAAGAGGAACAGCUCUAUGCAGAGAAAAUCACUAGAAGAUAAAAAAGUGAGCAAUGCUUGAGUUUGGUACUAAGUCCAUGUGGGACAUAACAUCAUUAAUUUCCUCUCCCAUGUUAUCCAAAUUGUAUUUAAUGAGCCUGUAUUACUUUGGUAAAGGAGAGAAUGUUUAACAGGUCUGCUGUGUGGCUUCCACUCAGUUUCAGGAGGCAUUGUCCUUUGCUUCUCCCAGAUCCCCUACACCCCUGCCAGUCUGUGUUUGGGUGCCUAAUGUCACCAUUCUGAGUGGAAUGGAACCGGCACUAAAACCUGUCACCCCCUAGGGAGAGAAUAAAGCCAACUGUCCUCUCCAUCCUGGUUGACACAGGCUUGGCUCUAGUGGCCUGGUGAAUUCCCUAAACUCAUCACCAGGGCUACCAACAUGCCAAGGUCCUAUUAAAACACUUGAAAUCUGGAGGUUGUGGGGUUGGGAGAGUGUGGGCCCCAAAAAUACAAGACGAAAAGUGCAAAAUUAAAAUUUACAGGAGUUCCUGUCGUGGCGCAGUGGUUAACGCAUCUGACUAGGAACCAUGAGGUCC
rnacentral:lncRNA from 9 species